rnacentral:snRNA from 1 species
GUGCUUGCUUCGGCAGCACAUAUACUAAAAUUGGAACAACACAGAAAGGAUUAGCAUGGCCUCUGCACAUGGAUGACACAAAAAGAAAAAUAAUUAA